UGAGCCACAUUCAACAAGAAAUAGCACAAAGG
rnacentral:piRNA from 1 species